UUUCCUGCACCUAGGAUAUAUGUGUGUCAGAACGAGUGAAAAAAAUACAUUUCUUGAGAGCAUGGUUAGCUAAGUGAAUCAAUCAUACAUGCAAAUCCUGAGCAAAGGUAUUAGAGCAAUGAUGUCGAAAUGCCAGGUAUGACAGAGUUGACCACUGGUGACUGUUUCUGAUCAUCUGAUUCUUCCACUCAACAUACCUCCAAACACUUCCUUAGGUGUGGAAGUGGUGUUCUUAUUCACAUACCCCUGAAGUCUGAAUUUUGCAGCUAAGACCUUCAUGAUAUCACAGGGCCAGGAUAAGCCCUUGCAUAACCAUGAAUAUAGGUGUCUCCUACUGCCUCACCUGCUCACUUGCUACAUCCUAGUCUUGGCCCAAGUAUUAUUUCCUUUGGUCCCCCCAAACACAAGCAAUAGCACUACCCUUUUUCUUAUAAGCAGAGUAGAAAGUUGCUUAACCAGAGGGUUCUGAAGAUCCUAUGAAGGUCCCCUUGACCACACCAUCUUUCUCAAUGGCUUUCAUCAAUAUCCUUAAGUCUAAGCUUUAGGUCACUUCCUCAAGUUAGAAGGUAUUUGGGAAAGUAUACUAAAUUUGCAAGCAAACGAUAUGGGUUGAAAUUCAGGUUCUGGCAGAAUAUAACUGGGGAAAUGUAGGCAAAAAUUGUGAGUAGGAAGUUAAUUAAUUAAUCUGGGCCUGACUUUUCUCCUCUACAAAAUGAGGAAGAGAAUAUCUGCCCUGUCUUUCGGCAUGUUUUAUGGAUUAGGUGAAAUAAUGAUUGAAGAAUUAUUUUGGAAUUUAAAAAGUCCUGUGUGAGUGCUGUGAUCCUUAAGGGCUAACACAUUGUUCUUUAUGUUAGCAGUGAUGAGGUCAUCUGUGCAAUCCUUAAGACACUGAAAAGAAGGUGACAAGGCUGAGUAUUUGCUGCCUGUGGGUUCUGAGAACCUUUCCAGCGCUUAGUGGAUGGCACUCCUCGCCCCCGCCCUGUAGAGACCCAUUUGAAGAGCACUCCAUCACAGCCAACAAUUAUCUAAAUUGAAGUUGUCCAUCCUGCCUUUUAAGUUCUUCUCCAGAUAAUGAACCUUUUCAACCAACACAGGGUGCUUGAUGUUAAUCACACAGAGAAAUGCAAACUCAAUCUAUUCACCUUCGAAGGAGAUAGAGCCUAAAAGGUCUCAGUGGUUGGGGGUUGAGUUGGAUGGCCCAGCCAAGAGAUGCUCACUUCUGCCGGGGUUUGGAUACCUGUGCUCUCCCGUGGGCCUGUGAUGCACCAGGACCCUAAGCCUGUGAGCCAACCCAUCUCUCCCAGGUACACAGACACAAGCCCAGGACCACUCCAUCUCUGAUGGCCCAGCACCUGCUCUUCCCUCCCGUUCCCAGAGAACCACACUUUUCUUCUUUCAUCUUUUUAUCACUAGGAAUCCAUUUCCCAGAAAGCCUUAGCAUCCAUCUCCUUGUCCCCCAGUUUUUGAGAUGGGCUGAAACAAGAGGCAAAGUAAAUAUCUUACGAAAUUGCCAAUAUAAACUAUUUUUAACUGAGAGGAAGGAAAGAAGGAAGGCAGGCAAACUUGAAGAAACCAGGGUUGAAUUUUGUAAUGACUCCUCUGUUCUGCUCUUUAAUAAUAAUUAUUACAGUUGACUGAAUGCUUCCUCUGUACCAAGCAAUGAGCUGAGCAAAGUUUUACAUAUAUCAUCUCAUUUAAUGAUCACAACUGAAUGGAUUCCCUCCCCACUACCCCACCCCAUUAAGUUAUUCCCAUUUUAAGGAUGCAAAAACUGAGGGGCAGAAUUGUCAAGAGACUUGCCCAACGUUCUUAAAUAUUUGACCACAAGAGCCAUGCCUCAUCUGCUAUAUGAGGAGGGGAUACAAACCAUUAGCAUCAACAACUUUCAUCACCUUUUGGUAAUGCUGUAUUUUUGUGAUUAUUACAGUAAUAGUGUUCAGUACAGGAAAUUUGAAAAUUGUACAACAUAUGAUAGAAAAAAUAUAAAA